CUCCUACGGGAGGCAGCAGUAAGGAAUUUUCGGCAAUGGGGGCAACCCUGACCGAGCAACGCCGCGUGAGUGAAGAAGGUUUUCGGAUCGUAAAGCUCUGUUGUAAGAGAAGAACGUGUGUGAGAGUGGAAAGUUCACACUGUGACGGUAACUUACCAGAAAGGGACGGCUAACUACGUGCCAGCAGCCGCGGUAAUACG
rnacentral:rRNA from 1 species